rnacentral:lncRNA from 1 species
GUGUCGGAGCUUCGGCAGCACCUGCGCAUGCGAGGCAUGCCGGUUUCCGGCACCAAGACCGCCCUGAUCGAGCGACUUCGGCCCUUCAGGGACUCCAACGCGGGCUCUUCGCCCUCCGGUUGCUCCGACAUCACCACAGUGACCUUCCCCGUCACGCCGACAAGGUCCCUGUCCUCCUACCAGUCGCCGUCCUCCUCCAGCGCCCUGUCCCAAGGAGGCUACUACCCCUACCCCAGCACCUCCUCCACCCCUCCCGUCUCCCCGGCCUCCUCCGAGCUGUCCCUCAGCGGCUCGCUCGCCGACAGCUUCAGCGAGGUGCCCAUGUCGUCGCCGACGCACUUCGCCCUGCAGCCGUCGCCGGCGCAGCUCGGCAUGGACGACGGCCUGGGAGGAGGCGGCAUGGCGGGAGCGGGCCAGAGGCCGGGGGAGGGGGGAGGCAUGGACGGCCUCGAGGCCGAAAAGGAUAAGAUGCUGGUGGAGAAGCAGAAGGUGAUCGAGGAGCUGAUGUGGAAGCUGCACCAGGAGCAGAGACAGGUGGGUGUUGGCCGGCGGAGGACAAAGCUGCUUCACGCAUGAAAGGUGGUGUUUUAACAACUCAUGACUUAGCAGGUUGAAGAGCUGAAGAUGCAGCUCCACAAGAGAAAGCGCUGCUACGGUGCGACGCAGGAAGGCCCGCCUCCUCCGCCUCACCCCUCCAUGCACGCCCAGCAGGCUCCCUCCGCCAUGGGCCACCACUUCUUCGGGGUGACCAUCAAGCAGGAGCCCAUGUCCUUGUCCUCCAGCUGCCCGCUGUCGUCCGCCAAGCAGCUAAAGACUCCUCCCGGCGGCUGCAUGGAGGACAUGCGACACUGCACCGCGGGGGGUCCCGGGGGACCGCAGUGCAUGGACACGGCCCCUUCCUCCGCCAGCCCCUCCGCCAUGUCUGCCUUUUUGAGUCCCCAGUGCUCGCCGCAGGACUCUCCCAAUGUGAAGCCUCCCAGCAGCCCCCGGCCGUCGUCUCCCAGCAACCCCUACCUGCUGUCGCCGCCGCUGGGGAGGGACGGCUGCGGACACCCCCACACACAGGACAGCAACAGGGCACAUACUAUGCAGAUCCAGCAGAAGGGCAGUGGGCAGCCGGUGAACUGCUCCUACCCCCCAGAACAACGAGGCCUUCAGGGAGUUUUUCCCAACCCGGCCGAGUGUGGCCUCAACCACGGCGCCUCAACCAAAGCCGAGACCCAGGUCGUGCAGCCCAAGAUGUCAGUAAUACCCUCUCCUCGGCAUGUUGGCCAAAAGUGCCAGGUCUCCCCCCCCGCCUUCCGUAGCUCAGAUUCAGAUGCAUCUGACUUAAGACAGCCCCCAUGCUAUGAGGAUGCAGUGAAGCAGGUAAACUCAUCCGUAGAGAACGGCUGGCCGGACGUUUUAACCGUCCACCUCUCCUCCCGCCUCCGCACCCCUUCCAUUCAUCAAUGA